ACAAAACAAAAAACCGCGCAGUUGCAAAUUACGUUAAACAAAAGAAUAUACAAACAAUAAAUACACUCACUGAUCCAAUUUUAUGUUUGAAUAGGGCCCAGUUGGACCCCGGCGUACCCACCCUGCCUGAGAUGACCACAUCGGCGCCAUCUCCCUUGCGUUGGUCACUACAUCAGUAGCUGCUCCUAAUCCGGCGUAGCGCUGUGGAAUUCCCUUCCCCUCCAUGAUGAGAAAACUCACACAAACAUGUUCAUCAUAUUUAUAGAUAACAACCAGAUAUUUGGACUUCAAAAUGGCAAAGGAACAAGAUUCAAAAAUUACGCAGUAGGACGAUGUGAAACAACAUAAUAGCCACAACGGCGUAAUAGAUAACUUAUUUUAUAUGUUACGCAUUUGGGUGUAAUAGUGCAAAUCAUAAACUAACUGGGAGUGGAUAGGUACAAAGAAACGGUCAGCGGACAAAUAAAGAUCUCUAAUCUCACAACAAAUUACAUAGUUACUAUUUCAGCUUAUGUAGUUUUUAGUCGGCUUGAUCGAGCAAUCUACUACCCCGGAUGACUGGGAGUAGUUUUUAAAUUUCUCUCCCCUGGAAUUGCCAUUUCUUACCCCCUAUUAUCGCCACGCGAUAUCCCAAUCCCACAACAUAGCGAUUGUACACAAAGAAAAGUCUAGGUUUCAUACUUGUUGCUGGGAAUCCUCAUUCAAGGUUCUACAAAAAUAUUUUUUUAAUGUAAUGUAAACAUUUGAUCAUAAAAUAAAUGUUUUUUAAAGAAUAAAGUAAAA